rnacentral:rRNA from 1 species
UGGGGAAUAUUGCGCAAUGGGGGGAACCCUGACGCAGCCAUGCCGCGUGAAUGAAGAAGGCCUUAGGGUUGUAAAGUUCUUUCGGUAUUGAGGAAGGUUGAUGUGUUAAUAGCACAUCAAAUUGACGUUAAAUACAGAAGAAGCACCGGCUAACUCCGUGCCAGCAGCCGCGGUAAUACGGAGGGUGCGAGCGUUAAUCGGAAUAACUGGGCGUAAAGGGCACGCAGGCGGUUAUUUAAGUGAGGUGUGAAAGCCCCGGGCUUAACCUGGGAAUUGCAUUUCAGACUGGGUAACUAGAGUACUUUAGGGAGGGGUAGAAUUCCACGUGUGGCGGUGAAAUGCGUAGAGAUGUGGAGGAAUACCGAAGGCGAAGGCAGCCCCUUGGGAAUGUACUGACGCUCAUGUGCGAAAGCGUGGGGAGCAAACAGGAUUAGAUACCCUGGUAGUCCACGCUGUAAACGCUGUCGAUUUGGGGGUUGGGGUUUAACUCUGGCGCCCGUAGCUCGUGAUAAAUCGACCGCCUGGGGAGUACGGCCGCAAGGUU